AAGGUUGAGGAAAGUGCUUCUGAGUUCUUGGUCAAUAAGCUCUCUGAGUUUCCUGGAGAGGUCUCUGUACUCACUCUGGGCCCCUCACAAAUGUAGCAUUAGUAUGCUUACAAGCUACAGUCAUAGGAUUAGACCUAUUUAUUGUGCAGUCUAUGCUCUGCUAUAUGUUAUAACUCAGUGUAUCUGUUCUUGCUUAGGCUGUCAAAAGAGACCCUUCCUUUGCAAGCAAGGUGAAGAAAAUAGUUGUACUGGGUGGAGCUUUGAGCUUUCUUUGCGGCAGGAAUGUCAACCCUGCAGCUGAAGCAAAUAUCCAUGGAGAUCCAGAAGCAGCUGACAUAGUUUUUACUUCAGGAGCAGAUAUUGUUGUGGUUGGCAUUAAUACAAUGACUCAAGUUUUCUUUACAGAUGAGGACCUUCUGGAGCUAAGAAACUCGAAAGGGAAGCAUGCACAGUUCUUGUCUGAUAUGGGCAAGUUCUAAAGGGAUUGGCAUGCCAAGUCUGAUGGUUUCCACGGUACAUGAAAAUAAUCAGUUUUUGUUAUGCUUUUUCCAAGUACCCUCGGAUCUGGAAAAAAAUCACAUGUUGAUAUUUUCUUA